GGGGGAGAGCUCAGCGGUAGAACACCUGCUUUGCAUGCAGAAAGUCCCAGGUUCGAUCCCCAGCUUCUCCA